rnacentral:pre_miRNA from 1 species
UCUUUUGGAUGAGCAAAAAAAAAGUGGUUUCUUGAAAUACAAUCUACUUCUGGUGAAGAUGCUAUGAA